AGUAAGAAACGCGAUCGCAAUCUUGGGAACAUCCUGCUGAAAUCUGACCUUCAGUUUACCUUUUGGCUAAGUGCCUAGGAACAGAACAAGGAUUCUUCAGAUAAGAGGAAGGCUUCAUUUCUUGGAGACUUCUUGCAUGAUAUUUUCAAUUCCAUGGGAGUAGGUUUGCAGCCGGAGAAAUCCCUUCUCCUCAGCUCUCCUUAGGCACUAUUGGUUUAACUGUCCAAGAGAAGAGUGACUAUGCAGUUGUUAAUAUAGAAGCAGUCAAAGGCAAUUAGAUAAGGCUGUCGAAUACAAAUCAAACAUUUGACAACCAACAGUGCCACUGUGGCUUUGAAGUGAGAGAACUGCAGGUGCUGAGUACCAAACUUCAGGUGAUCUCAGAAUUUAUGCUCAUCAGAGAUGAACACUACACUCUACAUGAGAAAAUCAUCUCAUGCAGAGAAAGGGAGACAGCAGGAGGAUG
ensembl:lncRNA